GAAGGGGCUUACACAGCCCUCCAUAUGGAAAUGGAGAUAAUCCAGGCCAGCUUUGUGUCUCGGCUCCGGCAGGGGAGCCGCGGGGGCGGGAGGGGACCCGAGGCUCCAAAGAGACCCCUGCAGCCGGCUCUCAGGCGCGCGCUGGCAGCGGGCAGGGCCGCGCGGAUUCUGCGCCCAGACGCUCGGAGGAGGCGCCGCGCCUCCUCCCCCACCCGGCGGCCACCCUCUUUCUUCAGCUCGGUCCCCACCAGGGAUGCGAGGCCGGCUGGGGCAGGAAGGGCUCGGGCAGCGGCACAAAGGAGAGGGGAUUAUGGAAUUUUUAUUUUGAAAUGAAAGCGCCCAUCUUGCCACAAACUCAUGGCGACCAUAAGGACAGGUGGACGCAGCCGAGAGAAGCUGGACAGGACAGAUUGAGUCCUUUGGUCCAGCUCGCCAUAUUCCAAGUGCCCAGUAGCCAAAGGGACACUGCAGGGGACAGCGUGGAAGAACGUUUCCAAGGCUGGAGAGAGUUGUGUCACACAGCAGGGCUGGGGGCUCAAGGACCCAGCCUGGAAGACCCCCUUCCUCGGAGCACUGGUUAAGGGGGCAGGUGGGCAGCCCCUGGACACAGCAAGAGACAGACGGGGCUGAGGCCCCAGGGACCCGUGGGGUCAGCUCCAGCCUUGGCCCCAUGAGGCUCACCACAGAGCCUCCUCCCAGCCCCGGGCCCUUCUGCACCUCUCAGAUUGGGGGGUGCCCAGUUUCAGUUCAAAGGCCUCUUCUCCCCCACCCCCAUUGCCCUGUCCCCAGAAAUCCAGCCCGACCCCUGCUGUGUGCCGACGCCUGGUUUAGAAACAUCCCAUCGAGAUACAUCAGGAGAAGGGAAGAAGUAGGUGACAUCAGAAUCACAGAUUGUCACCCAAUAUUUCCCUGAGUCUUCUUGACCUUUCUAAUCCAAACUUUUCCAGCUAACUCGAGUGACUAGUUUCACGAGACUGUACUGGGCGUUUCUUCCACCUCCCUCCCACGAAGAGAAAAACAAGCCAGAGCUGGAAGCACAGUUGUUGACAGCUGUGUGACCUCAGGCAAGUCACUUGACCUGUCUGAGCCUCGGUUGCUCUGUCUGUGAAAUGGGAUUCCCAGUGAAAGAGCGCUCGUAGAGUCCGUGGAGUGACAUAGGUAAAGUGCUUGGGACGUGGUUGGUGGUAAAAGUCAGUGAAAUGUUGUUGAAGAGAUUAAGGAAGAGUGUGUGGAUACCCUUUGUGGAAUAUAGAGAGGGACAGAAACAAUACGAAUAGCAACGAGAACUGAUAAAUUUCACAUCUGAGGGGAUGCCACUGUCAGGCACCCAAAUCCCAGAUCCCCAAAACCUCUUGUCCCCCUCAUCAUUUCAAGGUUUUGUGGUAGACAUCAUUGGUGUUCAAUACCCAGGUGUCUACUGCUGGGUUCUGGGCAAGGGGCAGGGGUCACAAGUCCUCUUUCUCUUGAGCUUAGGACUGAUGAUUUGUCUAGUUUGGGCCAAAUUAAAAAUGAACAAAAGUAAUUGUACGAUUUCCUGGCCAAGCAUUACAUCAGUGGCACUGAACUCUCCAGCCCUAUCUUUCUCUGUGGCAGGAAUUAUGAGAAUAUAUGUUGAGACAGCCAUGUCAUAGCAUGAUAUUGUCACUCAAGCUGGGUCCCCGAGGGACUCCAAUAGGCACAGGUGCACCUGUUGAUUUUCGAAGGACAAGUGAGAUGAGCAAGAAAUGAACCUCCCCUGUUCCAGACAAUGAGAUGACCGGGAUGUUUGUUACAUAGCAUGACCCAGUUUAUCCUGACUGAUAUAACCCAGUGAGUCUGCCCCAAAGACUAGGUUGGGUGUUAGAAGCAGAAUUUAUUUUUUUAUUUUUAUUUUUUUUUAAAGAGAGAGUGAGUGAGAGAGGGAGAGAGAGAAAGAGAGAGAGAAUUUUAAUAUUUAU